UUUUAAACCCCUGUGUCUGGCUCAAUUGGUGUAGUGUGGAGUGGAGGAAAAUCUCUCUGAAAUCAGUUUUGGCUUCCCAUCAUUAGUUGGGGGGUUUGGAGGAGAUAGGAGCGUAUAAAUGGUGGAUGACUAAUAAGCUAAUGGUGCUUCUGAGAUCAAUGGCUACCUAAUGUGGCAGAUGACAGUGAGUGGAACCAGCCCUUUUGAACAAAGCCAGUUUGAUGUUUGUAAGGCUAACAGGAUGGAGAAUACUGAAAUCUGGGUUUCCUCCUGGAUCAGGCGAAGUUGUGAGCCAUUAUUCGAGCCGAGCCUUAGAGACGGCCAAGACAAAUCAGGGAACUACUAAAAUUAUAAUAGAGUAAGAUUCUCGAUUAGAUAUAAAUCUCGUCAAUGAAGGCUGCGUCAAUACCCAUCUUUGCUCUCUAGGGUGGAUAGGAUUGAAGCCUUUGCAAAGGAUGUGGAAUCCUUACUAUUCAAAACAUGUGUUUGAGAAUUUCCAAUCAGGUUGCAGAUAACCUUGCAAAAGAGGAUUUGUUUCUAAGAUCAAUCUGUUAUAGUUUCCAAUUCAGCCCAUAUGUGUAUUGA